AACGGGGAGGAGCCCAGAGCCUGAAUCAGUGUGUGUGUUAGUGGAAGCGUCUGGAAAGGCGCGCGAUACAGGGUGACAGCCCCGUACACAAAAAUGCACAUGCUGUGAGCUCGAUGAGUAGGGCGGGACACGUGGUAUCCUGUCUGAAUAUGGGGGGACCAUCCUCCAAGGCUAAAUACUCCUGACUGACCGAUAGUGAACCAGUACCGUGAGGGAAAGGCGAAAAGAACCCCGGCGAGGGGAGUGAAAAAGAACCUGAAACCGUGUACGUACAAGCAGUGGGAGCCUCUUUAUGGGGUGACUGCGUACCUUUUGUAUAAUGGGUCAGCGACUUAUAUUCUGUAGCAAGGUUAACCGAAUAGGGGAGCCGAAGGGAAACCGAGUCUUAACUGGGCGUUAAGUUGCAGGGUAUAGACCCGAAACCCGGUGAUCUAGCCAUGGGCAGGUUGAAGGUUGGGUAACACUAACUGGAGGACCGAACCGACUAAUGUUGAAAAAUUAGCGGAUGACUUGUGGCUGGGGGUGAAAGGCCAAUCAAACCGGGAGAUAGCUGGUUCUCCCCGAAAGCUAUUUAGGUAGCGCCUCGUGAAUUCAUCUCCGGGGGUAGAGCACUGUUUCGGCAAGGGGGUCAUCCCGACUUACCAACCCGAUGCAAACUGCGAAUACCGGAGAAUGUUAUCACGGGAGACACACGGCGGGUGCUAACGUCCGUCGUGAAGAGGGAAACAACCCAGACCGCCAGCUAAGGUCCCAAAGUCAUGGUUAAGUGGGAAACGAUGUGGGAAGGCCCAGACAGCCAGGAUGUUGGCUUAGAAGCAGCCAUCAUUUAAAGAAAGCGUAAUAGCUCACUGGUCGAGUCGGCCUGCGCGGAAGAUGUAACGGGGCUAAACCAUG
rnacentral:rRNA from 1 species